UCUCACUCUUACUCGGGCUGGUCUAGAACUCCAGAGCUCAAAUGAUCUGCCUGCCUCAGUUGCAGGCAUGUGUGAUGGUAUUUUCUAAGACACCAUGUGUGAUGGUAUUUUCUAAGACAACUUAAUGUUCUGUCCUAUGAAGUACCUAGGAGAAGACUACAUUUUGAUGACUCUUAACUUGACAAUGUAGAAUCUUGAAGGCGAGGGACCUUCUUGGUGUAAUUAUCUGUCGCUGAAUGGCUGAAAGUCUAGAAUUAGAGAUUUACUGAAGCAACAUACUAAGAGACCUACAGUGUGUCAGGCAUUGUUCUAGGUGUUGGGGAUAGAGCAGUCAACAGGCUGAUUACUUAAUGUUUAAAUGUUUUGGGUCUCUGUUUAAAUGCAGAUCACUUUAGGAGCAGCAAUGCAUUGCACAUAGCUUUGUGAAAAUAUAAGUAGAGGGCCCUUCAGAGGGAAAGGAAAAGUCAUGAUGGAGGGGCCCUCUGGGAAGGGAGUUCAGGAUAGGACAGUGGUAGGCAGUUUUAACUGGAUUCAGAAGGCAAAUACCAGUUUUUCUUCAAUCUUUCCUAUUUAGAAAAUCACAUAAAAAAGCAAACAAUACUCUGCUUUCCAUCAUUCUCCCUAUAAAAGUUGCCCUCAUCUUUUUUAAUGCCCUCUGCCAUCUCUUUGAGGCUAUGUGUGCCAGUUUUGCCCAGUACCUAUACACUUGUGCACUUUGCUUACUGCAUAGAGAUGCCUAGUGAAGGAGUUGGGUAGGCACUGAACUCCAGACCUACCUUCACCUGCCAAGACGUGUUAUACAUCCACCUAGGAAGGGGUAUCUGUCUUUUUCUAAUUUGAACAAGGUACCACAGGGCUUCAGUACCUCUCUUUGUUCCUCAGAGUUCUCAGGCAGCUAGAUCCCAUCUGCCCCUGUACAUGUAUUUUCUGGUUGAAUUUAAUAGUAUUGCUCUGCUAUGAAUCAAAAGAUGGGGAACAUUGGGGGACAGGGAGAAGCCAAGACUGAAGAAGUGAACCAACCCCUGUCAGCUUCUAAGAUGUCUAAUUAAUAUCUGGAUAAAAGAAGACUAGCUGAGGCAUGAAGAUGCCAUGUGAAAUGUUCUGCAGUUGAAAGAAAGCAAUGAUAGAACAACAACCUGCCUUUUCAGUUUUAGCAAACUGGAAGAACCGUCGGCACACAACAGGUUACCUCAGUUUUGCACUGCAACUGGCAAACGUGAUACAGUCAGAUAGCUCAACCUUUUGGUGGAGCUCAUUUGUAGGAUUUGAUAAAGGAUAUAUGUCCUGCUGAACCCUGGGGAUGGACUUGGGAUUAAAGUGUUUUUUCCUUUCCUGUUGUUAGCUUUUCUGGUCUGUUGACAUUGUGUCACGUUGCAGAGACUGCCGUGUCAGGAUGUAGUGACCUGAUUAGUCCAAACUCCUGCAGGGGAGACGUGCAAAUAGAUGAGCCCCAACAGGACCUGAAGAACCACGUGGUUUUGAAAUCCUGGGUGGAUGGGCCACACCCUGCAUACACCUUAAAUCUCCUGGUACUUUGAAGAUUAUCGAUGCUUUACGUGAGCAAUAAGGAAAAAGGAAGUGACCCAGAUGGGAGCCUCACUGUGGUCAGAUGUCUCUGAAAUGAGCAAAGUAUUUGCAGAUGUUUCAACAAGUGGAGGGGUUAGGCUAAGUCUAGGCCACAGGAAACAACUUCCACACCUUGAGGCUACUACAAUAAAGGGGAACUGAGCUGUCUGAAGGCAAUGUUUGUUCAGCUUUGCUCUUCUAGGCACUAAGGACAACAAGGGCAGAAGGAGGCCUUUUCAGAUCUUGUGAUCCAGUAGACAAGUCUCAUACUGGGGUUUAAAAAUUGGAAGCCCACUUUCCCACAGAUAUCAGCUUUCUCAUCAAUAAAAAUCUCUAUGC